rnacentral:rRNA from 1 species
CAUGCAAGUCGAACGGUGAACACGGAGCUUGCUCUGUGGGAUCAGUGGCGAACCGGAGUGUAACACGUGAGCAACCUGCCCCUGACUCUGGGAUAAGCGCUGGAAACGGCGUCUAAUACUGGAUACGAGUAGCGACCGCAUGGUCAGUUACUGGAAAGAUUUAUUGGUUGGGGAUGGGCUCGCGGCCUAUCAGCUUGUUGGUGAGGUAAUGGCUCACCAAGGCGUCGACGGGUAGCCGGCCUGAGAGGGUGACCGGCCACACUGGGACUGAGACACGGCCCAGACUCCUACGGGAGGCAGCAGUGGGGAAUAUUGCACAAUGGGCGCAAGCCUGAUGCAGCAACGCCGCGUGAGGGAUGACGGCCUUCGGGUUGUAAACCUCUUUUAGCAGGGAAGAAGCGAAAGUGACGGUACCUGCAGAAAAAGCGCCGGCUAACUACGUGCCAGCAGCCGCGGUAAUACGUAGGGCGCAAGCGUUAUCCGGAAUUAUUGGGCGUAAAGAGCUCGUAGGCGGUUUGUCGCGUCUGCUGUGAAAUCCGGAGGCUCAACCUCCGGCCUGCAGUGGGUACGGGCAGACUAGAGUGCGGUAGGGGAGAUUGGAAUUCCUGGUGUAGCGGUGGAAUGCGCAGAUAUCAGGAGGAACACCGAUGGCGAAGGCAGAUCUCUGGGCCGUAACUGACGCUGAGGAGCGAAAGGGUGGGGAGCAAACAGGCUUAGAUACCCUGGUAGUCCACCCCGUAAACGUUGGGAACUAGUUGUGGGGUCCAUUCCACGG